UCGGACUUCUUAAUAUCAGUAAACAUAUAAUACAGGUUUUGUAUAUUUGGGAUUAUUUGAUCUUCCACUUUAGACCGGUAGAAUUAUUUGAUCAUCCACUUAAGACCGGGAAGGAUGAAACACAUUUUACUCUGUGUUUUUCUUAUUGUUACCUUGCUGCUUGUGUGUGAUGGUCAAGUGAUACCCGGUACCUGUCGAUGUUUCCCAGAGGAUUGCCCUGAUCCGUUUGAAGAAGUAUACUACCCUGGAGACUGUGAGGGGUACAACAACUAUUAUAGACGUAUUUAUUACAAGCGAUGCUGUUUAAUGAAGUUUUGGUACGUUGACUGACCAUAGAAAAUCCCAAAAACGAAUUGAGUAAAGAUACAACGGGUAGAAAGAGGAAAGCCUCACCAUGGGUGGAAUUAUUUGACACAAAGGGAUUGUUAACUUUGUUAAAUGCAUUUUUGUACUACUGUUUGUAUUGUUGUUCAAUAAAUACGUUAUUACAA